rnacentral:rRNA from 1 species
CGGGGCCGUCCAAGUUGCUUGGAACAGCACGUCAUAGAGGGUGACAACCCCGUCUGUGGCGGAACCGGCCGCUCACGAUGUGCUUUCGACGAGUCGGGUUGUUUGGGAAUGCAGCCCAAAACGGGUGGUAAACUCCAUCUAAAGCUAAAUAUUGGCACGAGACCGAUAGCGAACAAGUACCGUGAGGGAAAGAUGAAAAGCACUUUGAAAAGAGAGUUAAAAAGUACGUGAAACCGUUGAAAGGGAAACGGAUGGGGUUAGCAAUGCGCUGUGCGAGAUUCAGCCGGGUGUUGCGUUGGGCGUGCGGUUUGCGGAUCUGAAUGGACUGUGGCCGUGCGGAUCGAUGUUUCCACCGUCGCACUUCUCGCCGGUGCGCGCCAACGUCGGUUGGCUCUGGGUCUUAAAGUCGCCAGCAAGGUAGGUUCAGACCUUCGGGUCAGAAUUGUUAUAGGCUGGUGUCGUAUGGCCCGGGGCCGACCGAGGUGCCGCGGCGUAUGCCUCCUUCGGGCUGGCUAGGGUCCCGUCUUCCUCGCUGGUAGUCGAAUGUGGUGGACUGCGUGCAGUGCGCUGCGACUGCUGCCGGUGGCGGGGAUGGUGACUUCGUACUAUGCGCCCAGGACGUUGGCGGUCACAUGGCCUCAUUCGACCCGUCUUGAAACACGGACCAAGGAGUCUAACAUGUGCGCGAGUCUUUGAGUGAAGGAAACUCGCAGGCGCAAUGAAAGUGAAGGCGGCCUGGCCGUCGAGGUGAGAGCUUGUCCUUCGGGGCGAGUGCAUCAUCGACCGACCUAUUCUGCUCUCAGGAAGGUUUGAGUAAGAGCGCA